AGCACGCACUUGGUGGGGUUGUUUUGGUUUUGGUUUUUUUCCUCUGAUAACUUUAUUGCGCUGCCCUCAGUGCGUUCGUGCUCUUAAACGUGAGGACUGCUCAGUAGCCCCCAAUCCUGUCCGGACUUGCAUGCAUCCUUGAAAUGAGUGUGUCAAAUGCUCCGUGCGUGUGUAUGUGAAAUAUGACCAGCGAGGGGCUGGAAAUCCGUGGUAUUUCAUUUUAGUGUUUCUGUUAAGAUAGAUUCAGAUUUUUGGUUGGCUUCGCUUCCAAAUUCCUGGUACUUUAGGCCUGGAUAUAAAUUUGAAAUGCUUUUUUCAUAAGGAGGAAUACUUGUAAACUAAUUAAUCGUUUGUAGUGGCAAUUUUGUAAGGCUGUUGUUUUCAUGUACAUGUUAAAAAUUGACCUACUAAGAGGCGCAAGGGAAGUCAGAUAUAGUUCUAGCUGGGCUGUGAAGUGGCAUGUAAAGGUGGAGUGGCUGAUCAGAGAUCCUGAUCCUCUAAAUCCUAAAACUCUCACCUCUUUGCUGCCCCCCUCAGCCGUACCAGCACAGCGGUUCGCGGAACCGUGUCCCGUCACUGAACUCGCCCGAAAUGAUCCAGGUUAAAAUUAACUACAUUUUUUUUUUUUUAAUGUGGUUAUAUUUAACCUGGAUCAUUUCUCCGGGUGACAGGUGUGCCAGAAGGCAAGAGGAUUUGUUUAAGCAAAGACUCCAGUGGAAGAAGCACUUGAGAAAUACACCUCAGUUGUGGUAGUCCUGGCAGAGUUCAGUCUGCGCAGUUGUGGUUUCACACUAUUGAGUCUUACAGGAAUAAAAUUCAUUUUGUCUAUGAAUAUCUGUGAGUUUGGGGCCUGUUAUUUGAAGUUAGACAGCAUUUGGUUGUUACAGUAGAGGAAUUCUACUUGACAGAACAAGUAACUGCAUUAAUUGUUUUUAAUAAACUAUUGAUUUUCAUAUAUAUUCUUUUCAGAUACUUUCUCAACACAUUACAGGCACUGCUUUCAGAUUACCAAACAUUACAUAGGUGGGUUAGGGGGAUUUUAGUUGAAUGGGGGUGCUGGUGUUUUUAAGAUCUGAGAAUUUUGUUGGUAAGGCAAGAGUUGCCUCUUCUUAAGAAACAGUCCAAACAGGACAAAAUAACUCCCAGGCUGAUAUUUAAUAGUUUAAGGUUCCAUUCAGCCACGUCUUAUUUUCUGUUUCUUCCACUUCAUGUUCUUAUACAGAAGAGUUUAACACACACAAGUAAAAUAAAGAUGUGAGGAAAGCAGAGAGUGUUUUCUUUAUUAAUCUCUAAGGGCUCCAUAAACUCUCUGUCAUAGCUAAUUUUACUCUUUCUGUACUUAACAAUAUGAAAACUGAGUGGUAAUUACUUUAAAUUUAAUUUGUAGUGUUGGUUAAUUAUUUUGUUAGCACAGGAUUUCACUGAAGUCAUGAAUCUUCAUGGAUGGAUUGGUCUUGCCGAGGAAAUUGCUGCUUUCAAGAGCUUUGAGCUUUUGCUAUUUUCUUGACUGUAUUUGAAAUUUGUGCAAGAAGUUGAAGAUAAAAAUCAUUAGUAGAGAUAUUGACCUCCACUAUCCCCACAUGUGCUUUAUAUGAAAUGUGAUUAACUUGAAUAGUUUUGAUUAUAUUUUUUUUCCCCCUAAAAAUAGUAGACUUGUGUUGAAAAUAGUUGUGAAUCAAAAAUGCAAUUUUCUUCUCUAGGCAAUUUCAUCAUUUGAAAAAAGCUGCUUUUUUAGCUAUUGCACCCCUCCAGGAGCUAUGUAUAACUUGCUGUCUAAAGCCUCACAGUUUCAGCCUAAUUUUAUGGGUUGAACAAUAUUGAUAGUUCUCCUUUUAGAAUAGAAAAUAUGUACCCUAAUACAAUUUUCAAGACAAAACACACAGCAUAAUUAGGAAGAGGUGGAGUUACAGCUAGGGUGCCUUCCUUUUCAUCACACUGCAAUGAGUUGGGCUUUCUUGAGGAAAAGACUUCAAUGUAUGUUAAAACUGUAUUAGGGCACUGAUUGAUAGCUGCAUAACAAAGACAGUAGUAGUUGUUCCUGCCAUUCUUAUCUUCUAUUUAUUUACUUCAUAAGUAUUUUUAACUUUCCUGUGUUAAUUGAGCUGGUAGGAAGCUGUGCCACCCUUUCAGUGGAACCAGUUACAAGAACAGGAGAGAGUCACCAGGCUGCUAGGGGAGCAGUAGCUGGUUUAAGGCAGCUUUCUUUCUGCUGCUGGAAAAAGGGAAAAAAAUACCUGUGAAACUAUGGAUAGACAGCCACCAAACCAUUCAACUGAAUCUCUUGUCUUCUACUAAUACUGAAUUAUUAGUAGUAAUCUUGGUUAUUAGUGGUAUUGGUAUUAUUAUUUUGAAUGUAGUGGUCUUCCAGGAUAAUAAUAAAUAUAUGAAGUGCACCUUCAGUCAUGUAACAGAGUCUAAAAUGAGAUUCCAGUGUCUCAAUGUAUCUGUGCCACAAGCAAAUUUGGCUAUAUCCAUGGGGAAGUUAUCUUGUUCACUGUUGUGGAUGGUUCCUGUGGUGAAAAUAACUUAGUAUUGCAGUUGGCUAUUUUGUUAACUCAGUUAUUGGGGGAUGUCUGUAAUAAUUUGAAACUGUUUGUUGGAGAUUCCCUUCUUCAUAUGUUGCAGGAGUUAAAGAUGUGAAAUACAAAAUCACGGAAGAGGAAGGAGACUCAUGGUUAAUGCAGCUGUGUGCUGC